rnacentral:rRNA from 1 species
CAGUCGCCACGGUAAUACGUAGGUGGCGAGCGUUGUCCGGAUUUAUUGGGCGUAAAGCGCGCGCAGGUGGUUUAAUAAGUCUGAUGUGAAAGCCCACGGCUCAACCGUGGAGGGUCAUUGGAAACUGUUAAGCUUGAGUGCAGGAGAGGAAAGCGGAAUUCCCAGUGUAGCGGUGAAAUGCGUAGAUAUUGGGAGGAACACCAGUGGCGAAGGCGGCUUUCUGGACUGUAACUGACGCUGAGGCUCGAAAGCCGGGGGAGCGAACGGGAUUAGAGACCCCUGUAGUCCCUGUCUCUUAUAC